UAAAUUCCUCAAACCUGAAAAGCACACCAAAUUUGACCUAAAUCCUUCACCCAAAAAACCAUUCUCAACCAAAAUCAAACAAAAACAAUACUUAUAACACGAAAUCAAACAUAAAUCUGAAAGAUCAAAACAAACCCUAAAUUCUAUAAUGGGAAUUCAGUCAGAUUCAAACAUAACAACCAUAUGGAUUCAACUACAACAAGGAGAGGAUAAAAUUAACUACCACGCUGAACCUUACCAGGGGAAGGUCCGCUUAGGUAACUUGUUUCCUUCCUCUUUUCUUU
rnacentral:lncRNA from 1 species